CCUACGGGGGGCAGCAGUGGGGAAUAUUGGACAAUGGGCGAAAGCCUGAUCCAGCCAUGCCGCGUGUGUGAAGAAGGCCUUCGGGUUGUAAAGCACUUUCAGUGGGGAAGAAAGCCUUGGGGCUAAUACCCUCGAGGAAGGACAUCACCCACAGAAGAAGCACCGGCUAACUCCGUGCCAGCAGCCGCGGUAAUACGGAGGGUGCGAGCGUUAAUCGGAAUUACUGGGCGUAAAGCGCGCGUAGGCGGUCUGAUAAGCCGGUUGUGAAAGCCCCGGGCUCAACCUGGGAACGGCAUCCGGAACUGUCAGGCUAGAGUGCAGGAGAGGAAGGUAGAAUUCCCGGUGUAGCGGUGAAAUGCGUAGAGAUCGGGAGGAAUACCAGUGGCGAAGGCGGCCUUCUGGACUGACACUGACGCUGAGGUGCGAAAGCGUGUGUAGCAAACAGGAUUAGAUACCCCUGUAGUC
rnacentral:rRNA from 1 species